rnacentral:lncRNA from 1 species
GGGCAGGAGGAGGAGGAGGGAGUCAGGAGAAGGAGGAGAAGGGAGUCAGGAGGAACAGGGGCAGGAGGAGGAGGGAGUCAGGAGCAGGAGGGAAUCGGGAGGAGGAGAAGGAGGAGGAGAUCGGGGGAGCAGGGGCAGGAGGAAGAGGAGGAGAGACGAAGGAGGAGGAAGAAGGAGUCAGGAGCAGGAGGGAAGCAGGAGGAGGAGGAGAUCGGGGGAACAGGGGCAGGAAGAGGAGGAGGGAGUCAGGAGCAGGAGGGAAUUAGGAGGAGGAGGAUAUCAGGGGCAGGAGGAGGAGGAGGGAGUCAGGAGCAGGAGGGAAUCAAAAGGAAGAGGAGGGAAUCAGGAGGAACAGGGACAGGAGGAGGAGGAGGGAAUCAGGAGGAACAGGGACAGGAGGAGGAGGAGGGAAUCAGGAGGAGGAGGAGGGGGGAAUCAGGAGGAACAGGGACAGGAGGAGAGGAAGGAAUCAGGAGGAGGAGGAGGAGGAGGAGUGGGGUGUGGUGGGGUGGUGUUGAAGGUUCUCGGGGGGAAGGGGAGGGUGCUGAGCCUGUGGCCGUGGAUGCGGGGCUGAGGGCGGGGGGCUGGGAGGGCCUGCUGCCCAGACCGAUCCGGUCCUCUCCCUCCUUCCCUCCCUCCUCCUCCUCCUCCUCCUGCUUCCCUUCUCCCGCCCGAUCCCCGAGCGGGGACGCAGCGUCCUGCAGAGGGCCCGGGCCCCCGCGGAAGGCACGGCCCGCCGCCAGGUACCGGGGGAUGGGGAGGAUGGGGAGGAUGGAGAGGAUGGGGGAGGAUGGGGAGGAUGGGGGGGAUGGGAAGGAUGGGAGGAGGUUGCCAACGGGUGUCAGGGGCGCAGGGGCGGGUAAGCCCCUCCCCGUCCCCGGACAGAUGGGGGCCAGGCCUUGCCGGGAUGCUCUGCUCCCCGCCCCCCGGCCUGGGACCCCCCACCCUCGCCUCCCCCCCACCAACCCCCGGACCUCCGCGCCCCCUCCUCCCCCCCCCCCCCCGUGGGCGCCGGGACCCUCCUUUGUUUGCUUCUCUCCUCGCCCCGACCCCCACGACCAAGUUCAGAGACUCCGUAUUAUCUGCCCUUGCCCAUGCGGGGGAUCACAGUGCGCCCCCAACCCCUUCCAACCUCCAUCCCUCCCUCCAAUCCCUUCCUACCCCCACAGCCCCCUCCCAUCCCCUCUAACCCCCUCCCACUCCCUCCAACCCCGUCCAGCACCCCCAGCUCCUCCAUCUCCCUCCAGCUUCUUCUAG